AGCGAACGCUGGCGGCAGGCCUAACACAUGCAAGUCGAACGAACCUUUCGGGGUUAGUGGCGGACGGGUGAGUAACACGUGGGAACGUGCCUUUAGGGUCGGAAUAACUCAGGGAAACUUGUGCUAAUACCGAAUGUGCCCUUCGGGGGAAAGAUUUAUCGCCUUUAGAGCGGCCCGCGUCUGAUUAGCUAGUUGGUUGAGGUAAUGGCUCACCAAGGCGACGUUCAGUAGCUGGUCAGAGAGGAUGAUCAGCGACACUGGGACUGGGACGCGGCCCAAACUCUUACGGGAGGCGGCAGAGCGGAAUCGUGCGAAAUGGGGUAAAGCAUGACGCAGCCAUGCCGCGUGAAUGAUGUAGGUCUUAGGGUUGUAAAAUUCUUUCACCUGUGACGAUAAUGACGGUACCUGGUGAAGAAGCCCCGGCUAACUUCGUG
rnacentral:rRNA from 1 species